UAUUGUUUCUUCAGAAAUGAGAGAGCGGCGUACGGGUGCGGAACACGUGUGCAACCUGCCUUUAUCUGGGGGAUAGCCUUUCGAAAGGAAGACUAAUACUCCAUAACAUAUUGAUUGGCAUCAAUUAAUAUUGAAAGCUCCGGCGGAUAGAGAUGGGCACGCGCAAGAUUAGCUAGUUGGUGAGGUAACGGCUCACCAAGGCGAUGAUCUUUAGGGGGCCUGAGAGGGUGAUCCCCCACACUGGUACUGAGACACGGACCAGACUCCUACGGGAGGCAGCAGUGAGGAAUAUUGGUCAAUGGGUGCAAGCCUGAACCAGCCAUCCCGCGUGAAGGACGACUGCCCUACGGGUUGUAAACUUCUUUUGUAUAGGGAUAAACCUACCCUCGUGAGGGUAGCUGAAGGUACUAUACGAAUAAGCACCGGCUAACUCCGUGCCAGCAGCCGCGGUAAUACGGAGGGUGCAAGCGUUAUCCGGAUUUAUUGGGUUUAAAGGGUCCGUAGGCGGACUUAUAAGUCAGUGGUGAAAGCCUGUCGCUUAACGAUAGAACUGCCAUUGAUACUGUAAGUCUUGAGUAUAUUUGAGGUAGCUGGAAUAAGUAGUGUAGCGGUGAAAUGCAUAGAUAUUACUUAGAACACCAAUUGC
rnacentral:rRNA from 1 species